GUACGCGUUUCUGUAUACUUACAUUUCGAUGGGUUAAACGCAAUCGGAUUUUAGCAUAUUUAAUGAAAAAAUGUCUGAUCCAGAACUGGAAGCAAUUCGUCAACAGCGUUUAACGCAAUUACAAUCCCAAUUUAAGGGUAAUGAUGGGGCGAAUCAACAGCAAGCUGCUGAAGAGAAAAGACAGCAAAUAGAAGAAAUGCGUCACUCCAUUCUUACGCAAGUCCUCGAUCAGUCAGCAAGAGCUAGAUUAAAUACACUAUGUUUGGGAAAACCUGAAAAAGGUAAAAUGGUGGAAGAAAUGUUAUUGAAUAUGGCACAACGAGGGCAACUACCUGGUAAACUUGGGGAGAAAGAACUCAUUGGGCUUUUGGAAAGCGUUAACCAGCAGACGCGACGUACAACAACUGUUAAGUUUGACAGACGUAGAGCAGCACUGGAUUCUGAUGAUGAAUUAUAGCAGUUGGUAAGUACAUAUCCAAAAUACACGCGACACGGACUUGCACUUGAACAUAUAUACAAUUUGUCAUCAUUCCUGUCAAAGACGAACAAUGCAGGAGCCUUUUGAACUGGCGCGUGUUCACCUACGACAUGUGGAUGAGACUGAUAGAAAAAUGCAUGAGGCUGGAACACGUCAGCUGCUCUUCGAUAAACUUCCUAUAUUGGCAAAUACAUAUAAAAUAAGCACAGAGACAAUUUUGAAAAUUUGAUUAACGAUCAAAUAGAUUAUUUAAUUACCCAUAGAGAACCGGACUUUUCACCGACGUACAAGAAGUAUACGUCACGAUCUCGUUUUAUUGUAUCAAAGCUCUGAGACUUUGUUAUCUCCUGCACGGGAGGACCACUCAAUCUCUGAGCAAAUUUUACUAUUUCAUCUCUUGUCCUGUCGCCGUGAUACACAAAUUCGUUGUCUCCCUUUAAA